rnacentral:rRNA from 1 species
UACGAAGGGGGCUAGCGUUGCUCGGAAUCACUGGGCGUAGAGCGCACAUAGGCGGAUCGUUAAGUCGGGGGUGAAAUCCUGGAGCUCAACUCCAGAACUGCCUUCGAUACUGGCGAUCUUGGAGUCCGGGAGAGGUGAGUGGAACUCCGAGUGUAGAGGUGAAAUUCGUAGAUAUUCGGAAGAACACCAGUGGCGAAGGCGGCUCACUGGCCCGGUACUGACGCUGAGGUGCGAAAGCGUGGGGAGCAAACAGG